rnacentral:rRNA from 1 species
UACUCGAGUGGCGAACGGGUGAGUAACACGUGGGUGAUCUGCCCUGCACUUCGGGAUAAGCUUGGGAAACUGGGUCUAAUACCGGAUAGGAACCAUCUUUAGUGUGGUGGUUGGAAAGUUUUUUCGGUGUAGGAUGAGCUCGCGGCCUAUCAGCUUGUUGGUGGGGUAAUGGCCUACCAAGGCGGCGACGGGUAGCCGGCCUGAGAGGGUGUACGGCCACAUUGGGACUGAGAUACGGCCAG